CAAUAGCGUAUAUUAAAGUUGUUGCAGUUAAAAAGCUCGUAGUUGGAUUUCUGGUAGGAGUGACCGUUCCGAACUUGAUUGUUCGUGUAUUGUGUUUUCUCCAGCCAUCCUUGUGGAGAACUUUUCUUGCAUUAAUUUGUAGGGAUUGGGACCCGCAUCGUUUACUGUGAAAAAAUUAGAGUGUUUAAAGCAGGCAAUCGCUUGAAUACAUUAGCAUGGAAUAAUAAGAUAGGACUUUGGUACUAUUUUGUUGGUUUGCAUACCAAAUUAAUGAUCAACAGGAACAGUUUGAGGAUAUUCGUAUGAACAUGUCAGAGGUGAAAUUCUUGGAUUUUGAGCAGACGAACUACUGCGAAAGCAUUUAUCAAGGAUGUUUUCAUUAA
rnacentral:rRNA from 1 species